rnacentral:rRNA from 1 species
CCCUUAGACGUUCUGGGCCGCACGCGCGCUACACUGACACAGGCAACGAGCUUUCCUUUACCGAAAGGUAUGGGUAAUCUUUUGAAACUGUGUCGUGCUGGGGAUAGAUCCUUGCAAUUUUUGAUCUUAAACGAGGAAUUCCUAGUAAGCGCGAGUCAUCAACUCGCGUUGAUUACGUCCCUGCCCUUUGUACACACCGCCCGUCGCUACUACCGAUUGAAUGGCUUAGUGAGGCCUCAGGAUCCGCGCUUAAUGUGUGGAGAAUUUGUACAAACUACGUCAUUUAGAGGAAGUAAAAGUCGUAACA